rnacentral:misc_RNA from 1 species
AACAAGGCGUACCUGCGGACCUGCGGAGGGAUCAUUACAGAGUUCGUGCCCUCGCGGGUAGAUCUCCCACCCUUGUGUAUUCUCUACAUCUUGUUGCUUUGGCAGGCCGUUGGUUCGCCAACCACCGGCUCGCGGGCUGGUGCGUGCCUGCCAGAGGACCUCUCAAACUCGGUUUGUUAGUGUCGUCUGAGUACCAUAACAAUCGUUAAAACUUUCAACAAUGGAUCUCAGAUCGGAAGA